rnacentral:lncRNA from 1 species
GCACAGGUUAUUUGCAUGAAGGGAUGAAGUGGCAGGAGAAAUGAAGUCUUCCUAACUCUGGCCUCCUGCUGCUACACAAGCCAGGCCAAUGAUGUGGCAAGUCCAAGGGGCACAUGGCUUUUCAGUGUCAUUGUUUGAGGAGGCCAUGAGUGGUUUAGCUGGUGGCCUCUGCUUCUUUUUCUUUUGAGUGCUUCUGAAUACAUGACUGUGCUCUGAAUACAGAGCUACCACUGCGGGGUAAACCAAGCCACAGCUGUCCUCUUCCAAGGUUAGGGUCGCUGCUCAGCAGGAGCUGAUGUGCUACAAGGAAUGAUGAUCUUCUACUGGACAACAGAACCAGGCCUCCUGACUGCCCCUCCCUGCGCUCCGGGCCUGCAGAAGGCGCCUGAUGUGACUUCGCAUUAUUUUGAAGCUGGAAAGGCAGACAUUUUAAGCCCUAAAGAGGUUUUGCCUUCUGAGGGCUGUUAAAAUUGACUACGCUAUAUGAAAUCAACAUGCUGGAACAUAAUAAUGAGGACAAUGAGGCAUUCAGGGAAAUCAUCAAUAUCAACAGACAACAGAAUAUUAUCCUAAGAUGUUGUUGUAGGUUACAUUGUGCCUCACAGAAAGAUGUAUUGAAGUCCUAAUCCCCAGUUUCUGUGAGUGUGGCCUUAUUUGGAAAUAGAGUCUCUGCAGAUGUAAUCAAGUUAAGACAAGGUCAUCGUGAAUUAGGUGUCCAAUGAUUGAUGUCCUUAUGAGAAGAGAGGGAGAUUUGAAUACAGACACAGAGACACAAACGGAGGGAAGAAGGCUGGUGACUGAGUCCUCGUCCCCCAUCUCCUAUGCCUGCACAGAGGAGAACUCUUUGUAAACAUCAAGUGUCAUGACCAUCAGCCCCUGGAAAACAUCUGGUCUGCCUUCACUAGAGGACCAUUUUCAAUUACUUUGGGGAUAAGAAGAUUGGCCCUGAUGGAAAGUGAAUUGCUCAUGAGAUCCAGUCAAUGAAAGAAAAAAAGAAAACUGUACUUUAGCUCAGGAACUAGAAUAAAGUUUCCAAAAAACA